rnacentral:siRNA from 1 species
AUGGUGAGACAAUUUGGAACGAA